rnacentral:rRNA from 1 species
UACGUAGGGUGCGAGCGUUGUCCGGAAUUACUGGGCGUAAAGAGCUCGUAGGUGGUUUGUCGCGUUGUUCGUGAAAACUCACAGCUUAACUGUGGGCGUGCGGGCGAUACGGGCAGACUGGAGUACUGCAGGGGAGACUGGAAUUCCUGGUGUAGCGGUGGAAUGCGCAGAUAUCAGGAGGAACACCGAUGACGAAGGCAGGUCGCUGGGCGGGAACUGACGCUGAGGAGCGAAAGCGUGGGGAGCGAACAGG